AGAGAAGAGAAGAGAAGAGAAGGCAGGUCAGUGUUACAAAUCAAUUUGUUGUGAAUAAAAUGAACUCAAACAGAGCUUUUUUCAUACCUGUUCUGUAAACUCCCCUUUCAUAUACAAGACAGUAAAACAGGCAGCUAGACUUAAUCUUCAGACAUUGUGCUUUUUAUCUACAGUGCUUCCAUGAUUGUGUUUCUUCCAGCAACUCCAGACAGAUGAAUCAAGAUAUGAACACAGAUUUUGAAAAAGAAAACCAGCUGUACCAGCCUAAGGCAGUGUGAACAUUCAUUCCUGUAUCAAGGAUGCAGCCACCUGCCCCAGUUCCUCCCUUCCACCCAUGAGCCAAAAAGGCCCCUGGAUCCUUGUGACACAGCUCUUCUCUGGAUUCUUGGUGUCUGAUAACCUCCUAGGCCGCACAUAAGAUCAUACCAAGAAACUGUAAGUGUAAGCCCUCACUUGGAGAUUGAUUGGGAAUUGCCUAUUUGCUCCUGACACUGUUCUCUUGCUAACUUUCCAGUCACUCACCAUUUGGGAUCUCAGUAACAUUUUCCUCUACUGUCCUCUCCUG
rnacentral:lncRNA from 1 species